rnacentral:rRNA from 1 species
CCUACGGGUGGCAGCAGUGGGGGAUAUUGCACAAUGGGGGAAACCCUUAUGCAGCGACGCCGCGUGAGUGAAGAAGUAUUUCGGUAUGUAAAGCUCUUUCAGCAGGGAAGAAAAUGACAGUACCUGACCAAGUAGCUCCGGCUAACUACGUGCCAGCAGCCGCGGUAAUACGUAGGGGGCAAGCGUUAUCCGGCUUCACUGGGUGUAAAGGGAGCGUAGACGGUUAUGUAAGUCUGGAGUGAAGGCCCGGGGCCCAACGCCGGGACUGCUUUGGAAACUGUGUAACUGGAGUACAGGAGGGGCAGGCGGAGUUCCGGGUGUGGCGGUGAAAUGCGUAGAUAUCAGGAGGAA